CGGGCGGGGACGGGGCGGGGCGCGGCGACACCGCGGCGGGGAGGGACGGCCGGAGUGGUCCGGGCACCGCUGGCGGGAGGGGAUGCCCGGAGUGAUCCCGGCAUUCAUUCCCUCUCUGCUGUGAUGGGAUGGCCUCAGCGGCACGGGCCGGACCUCGCCCCUGUGAUGCCCAGGCAGCUCCGGGCAUCACGGCAGGGAAGGGAUGGACAGCUCCGGGCAGGGAAGGGAUGGAUGCCUGGACAGCUCCGGGCAUCGCGGCAGGGAAGGGAUGGAUGCCUGGACAGCUCCGGGCAUCACGGCAGGGAAUGGAUGCCUGGGCAGUCCGGGAAUCACGGCAGGGAAGGGAUGGACAGCUCCGGGCAUCACGGCAGGGAAGGGAUGGAUGCCUGGGCAGCUCUGGCCAUCACGGCAGGGAAGGGAUGGAUGCCUGAGCAGCUCCGGGAAUCACGGCAGGGAAGGAGGGAUGGACAGCUCCGGGCAUCAGGCAGGGAAGGGAUGGAUGCCUGGGCAGCUCCGGGAAUCACGGCAGGGAAGGGAUGGACAGCUCCGGGCAUCACGGCAGGGAAGGGAUGGAUGCCCGGGCAGCUCCAGGCAUCCCCGCGGGCGUGGGGAGCUGUGACUGGCCUACUCCGGAGCAGCCUGGGCUCGGUCCCACCUCAUCCUCUCAGCCCUGUCUCAGCCCUCCUUGGGCACAGCCUCGGCCCUCCCGGGCAUCUCCCGGCCCCCCUUCGGGGCCACCUCUGGCCCUUGCAGAUCCAGCUCCCCUCAGGUCUAUCUGCACCCCGCAGCCCCCCAAGGCUGUGUUUAACACCCCUGCUCUGCCUCUCCACAGCUGCCCUGGCAGAAGCUUCGGGGAUGUGCUGCAAGCUCCAGCACAUUCAUUGUGCCUGAGGUUGCCUCGGUGAGGCUGAGGGACACCCAACCCUGGCUGCAACUCAGAACCUCCAGAUGUGUAAAUAAUAUAUUUUUUUUUUCCCUUCAGUUUGCAGUUAGCACAAGCAUGAGUGCUCUUUGAGCCCCUGCAUCCUCCCAGGUCCAUUGUUACAAGCGGUCCCUAAUAACCAGCAGAGAUUGGGCUUGAAAGGGGAAGAAAUGAGGAAUAGAGACACUGCAGAGAGGAGGAUUCCCAGCUUGUUGGUCAGGAACUCAGGGAACAGAUAUUUUCUGGAAUACUCAGCUCCUGCAAACUGAAAUACCUUGUUUCAUGCCAAUGGGUUUAUGCUAAUGUGCCCUACAGCAACCUGAGCACAAGAUUUAAUUAUUAAUGCUAUCAUUUCUUCUGCCAUAUAUUAAUAAAGGAAUGUACCUCAGCUUGUAAAAACCACUGUGCUUCAGAUCCCAGCAAAGCAAGCCUUGUAAUUGUGUCAUUGUAGGCUGUUGAUAUUCCUUCUCA